ensembl:lncRNA
GAGAAACUCAUCAUGCAAGCGGUCAGACAAGUGAAAAACAUCACCCAGAUAGGCCAGUCGUGAGAGAAACUCAUCAUCAUGCAAGCGGUCAGACAAGUGAAAAACAUCACCCAGAUAGGCCAGUCGUGAGAGAAACUCAUCAUCAUGCAAGCGGUCAGACAAGUGAAAAGCAUCACCCAGAUAGGCCAGUCGUGUGAGAAACUCAUCAUCAUGCAAGAGGUCAGACAAGUGAAAAUGAUGGUCAGUAAAGAAAACUUUAAGCUUGUCUCUCAAUUUAAAAAAAAAAAAAAAUAAAAAAACGGGUCAAUACUUUGUCCCUUGAUAACCAGCGCACUUCUGUAUAUUGUAAACAUGUGACAUGGUUGCAGCCCAUAUCAUUGCAUAAUGAGGGAAAUACACGAGAUUUCAGGGGCCUUGUCUUUAACAAAGUUAACCAUUUUCACUGUAGUGUCCAAAAUGUCUUUCAAGCUGUCAGGCAUUCCCUUGGCAGCAAGAGCCUCUCGGUGGAUGCUGCAGUGUAACAAAGUGGCGUCGGGAGCAACUGCUUGCGUUACCAUUCCACUAUGUCUCCCUGUCAUGGCUUUUGCGCCAUCAGUAAGGAUACCAACACAUCUUGACCAUCAAAGUCCAUUUGAUUUCACAAAGCUGUCCAGUACUUUAAAAAUAUGUCCUGGUUUCCAGUGGUUUACAGAAGAGGAUGUCUUCCUUAAUUAACCCCCCAUAAAUAUAACAGACAUAUACCAGGAGCUGUGCCAGGCCCGCCACGUCUGUUGACUCAUCCAGCUGUAACGCAUAUAAUUCACUGCCUUGUAUGCAAAGCAGUAAUUGUUUCAAAACAUCUUCUGCCAUGUCACUGAUGUGUCGUGAAACAGGGUUGUUUGAUGGAGAGGUUGUCUGUAUAGUUUUUGGGGC